ACUGCUCAGUAACACGUAGUCAACAUGCCCAGGGGACGUGGAUAACCUCGGGAAACUGAGGAUAAACCGCGAUAAGUCAUUACUUCUGGAAUGGGUAAUGAUUAAAAUCUACAUGGCCCCUGGAUUGGACUGCGGCCGAUCAGGCUGUUGGUGAGGUAAUGGCCCACCAAACCUGUAACCGGUACGGGCUCUGAGAGGAGGAGCCCGGAGAUGGGCACUGAGACAAGGGCCCAGGCCCUAUGGGGCGCAGCAGGCGCGAAACCUCUGCAAUAGGCGAAAGCCUGACAGGGUUACUCUGAGUGAUUUCCGUUAAGGAGAUCUUUUGGCACCUCUAAAAAUGGUGCAGAAUAAGGGGUGGGCAAGUCUGGUGUCAGCCGCCGCGGUAAUACCAGCACCCCGAGUGGUCGGGACGUUUAUUGGGCCUAAAGCAUCCGUAGCCGGUUCUACAAGUCCUCCGUUAAAUCCACCUGCUUAACAGAUGGGCUGCGGAAGAUACUAUAGAGCUAGGAGGCGGGAGAGGCAAGCGGUACUCGAUGGGUAGGGGUAAAAUCCGUUGAUCCAUUGAAGACCACCAGUGGCGAAGGCGGCUUGCCAGAACGCGCUCGACGGUGAGGGAUGAAAGCUGGGGGAGCAAACCGGAUUAGAUACCCGGGUAGUCCCAGCUGUAAACGAUGCAGACUCGGUGAUGAGUUGGCUUCUUGCCAACUCAGUGCCGCAGGGAAGCCGUUAAGUUUGCCGCCUGGGGAGUACGGUCGCAAGACUGAAACUUAAAGGAAUUGGCGGGGGAGCAC
rnacentral:rRNA from 1 species